GAAACCUGAAUGAACUUUUGG
rnacentral:miRNA from 1 species